GCUUGAUAGAGAAAAAUAAAUUUAUUCUAGCUUUGUAAAAGGAUAGCUUGAUUCAAACCUGAAUUCAGAUGUAAAAAUAUAUUUAUUUCAGUGAACAUUGUAAAAAAAAGUGCUGCUAGGACCUAGAUAAUAUUCUAGUAGUAAAGGCAUGCAUAACUGAAAAAAAGUGUUAGGAUAAAGGUAGACAAGACUUCUGCAGCUGAACUUACAAUGCCCCUAGGGUGGCAUGAUACACAAGAAAUGUGGAGACAUACAUAUAAGAGCACAACUAGGGACUGAUGUUAAAUCAGGUGAGAUUCAUUUGGAGCAAAGUCAGAAAGCACUGAAAGAGUCUGGUAGUCUGGGAUCUCCAGUGCUGCAGAGGUAAAGGAAAGCACUGUAACUAGAACAGAACUGUAGGUCUGACCCCAGUGGCAACUCUUGUUGCAAAUUUUUAUUCAUAGUGAAUCAGAGCUAGACACAGAAUUGAAACCUAGGAUAUAGGACUGUUUCUUUAUGAAUUAGAACUCUCAGAAAUUUGAUUUGUUGCUGGAUGUAGAGUGGAAAAGAGGAAUAAGUGGGAAGUGUGCACUGUGUUAUCAUAAGCUAAUGCUUUUUCUCCUAAAUGUUUUCGUCAACUAAUCUUCUUUAUCACUGUAUUUAUAUUUCAGAAUUAAUUGAUACCAGUAGAGAGUACUCAGAAAAGAAGUUCAGUGGGUUUAACAGAGGUGAAAAAUGGCACUGUGAUGAUAAGCAUGAAGGAAUUCAUUCUGAAGAGAAAUCUUGUAGGUAUAAUAAAAGUGAAAACAGCUUCUGUGUUAUGAAGACCUUGUUCAGCACCAGAAAAUUCAAAUUUGGAGUAACCAUUUGAAUACAAUGAAUGUCAGAAAGCUUUCCAUGAGAAUUAACUCUUCCUUAUGCAUAAGAGAGGUUACACAAGACAGAAAACUUGUGAAUGUACUGAAUAUAAGAAAAUCUUUUGUGACAUGUUGUCUCUUACUGCUCAUGGAGAUGUCCAAAAAAUAAUGCCUAUGAAUUUAAUGAAAGUAGAGAAAAUUGUCUUGAGCAAUCCAUUCUCUUUGAACACUGAACUGCUUAUCCCAUCAGCCAGAAGACAAAACUCAGUCCAAUUCAGAGAAGACACUCAAUGGACAGUAUAAUUGAAUAUAAUUAAUAUGGAAUGUUUUUCAGUGAAAAGUCAGUCCUUGCUGUACAAUAGAGGACAAACACAGGAGACCAGCCCUAUCAAUGUCAUGAAUGUGGAAAAACCUUCAACCAGAAGUUAGCCCACACAAGGCAUCAAAGAACACACAGAGAGGGGAAAUCUAUGAAUGUCAUGAAUGUGGGGAAAUCUACAAGAUUUCUGACGUUAUUAAACACCAGAGAAUUCACACAGGGGAGAAACUUUGUGGAUGUCAUGAAUGUGGUAAAUCCUUCAGUGAGAAGUCAACCCUCACUCAACAUCAGAGAAUACACACAGGGGAGAAACUAUAUGAGUGUCAAGAAUGUGGGAAAGCCUUAUCAUUUAAGUCAGUCUUUACUAUAUAUCAGAAAACUCACAAAAGUGAAAAGCCGAAUGCUGUGAUUGUGGGAAAGCCUUUCUCAGAAUGUCUGACCUAAUUAAACAUCAAAGAACUCACACUGGGGAAAAGCCUUAUGAAAGUAAUGAAUGUGGGAAAUACUUCUCUGAGAAAUCAACUCUUACUAAAUAUCUAAGAAUUCACACAGGUAAGAAACCCUAUGAAUAUACUGAACGUGGAAAACUUUUCUGCUACUACUCAGGUUUCACAGAACAUCAGAGAAGACAUACAAGGGAGAAACCUUUUGGAUAUAAUGAAUGUGGGAAACCUUCCAUCAGAAGUCAGCUUUAAUUGCUCAUCAGAGAACUCACAUAGGACAGAAACCCUAUAUUUAGUAGAAACCCUAUAUUUGUAACGAAUGUGGAAAAUCAUUCUGUGUGAAGUCAGAACUCAUUGCACAUCAUAGAAUACAUACAGGGGAGAAACCCUAUGAAUGUAGUGUUUGUGGGAAGUCAUUCUAUGUUAAGUUAAAACUCACUGUACAUAAGAGAACACACUUGGGGAGAGACCCUCUAAAUGUAGUAAUUGAGGGAAAACACUCUCAGAAAACAUGUAUUAGUAUAAUGGAUAUUGAGAACAUCUUUGGCCUAAUGUCACUUCUCAAAAUAUAGAACACUUAGGAGAAAACAAAAUGAUGAUCUUGAGUAUUUAAAGAUUUUCUGCCAGAAUUUGGACCAUGCAUAAUAUAUUUUUAAAAAGCUCAGUCUUAUAAACCUAUUGAUGAGUAAACAAAAAUCUUUUGCAAAGCAUCACCUCUUGAGAUAUUUUCUUAAGGAAAGAGACCUUGGUUAACAUCCCUAAGGUAGAGAAGACAUCAUUCCCAGGCCAGAAAAAAUGCACAAACUAUAGGAAAACAUUUAUUAUUAGAUGACAUUUUAUUGGACAUAUGGAUUAAGAGGGAGCUCUGGGAACAUUAGCUAGUAAAUGCUAGAGAAAAUGUAUGGAAGCUUUAAGUCAAAAUCCAAAUUUAUUAUUCAUCAGAGAUGUUGAAUUGGAGGGUAUAGUAUUAUAGAAAAUGUGAAGAAGUUUUUCAUUUAAUAAUAGAAUUUUACAAUGUUAA